rnacentral:tRNA from 1 species
GUCUGGAUAGCUUAAGAAGAGUAUUACAUUGAAGAUGUAAUGGUGUAAUUUAAUACUUUAGAUA